rnacentral:piRNA from 1 species
ACUCUAGUCUGGCACGGUGAAGA